rnacentral:rRNA from 1 species
UACGGAGGGUGCGAGCGUUGUCCGGAAUUACUGGGCGUAAAGCGUGCGCAGGCGGUUUUGUAAGUCUGUCGUGAAAGCCCCGGGCUUAACCUGGGAAUUGCGAUGGAGACUGCAAGGCUUGAAUCUGGCAGAGGGGGGUAGAAUUCCACGUGUAGCAGUGAAAUGCGUAGAGAUGUGGAGGAACACCGAUGGCGAAGGCAGCCCCCUGGGUCAAGAUUGACGCUCAUGCACGAAAGCGUGGGGAGCAAACAGG